rfam:Schistosoma haematobium scaffold908_7, whole genome shotgun sequence.
AUUCAGCUGAUGAACCCCAAAUAGAACGAAACGCGCGUUCUGGAU